AAAAUUUCUGCUCAAAUGAUUUUUUAAAUUGCUGUGGUAUUUUGACUAUACAAAGGUAUUGUAAUAAGAUUUUAAUUGAAUGCUAAAAGAAUGGAAGUUUAAAAAAAUUCUUUUUUAAAAUUAAAAAUUGAAUUUUUUUUAAUUUGUGAAUAAACAAUUAUAAAAAUUAAAGACAAGAAGACCCUAAGAAUUUGAAGAUCAAAUAAAUAAAAAAUUUUUUAUUUAUUUGAUCUUGAUUGGGGCGAUCAAAAAAUAUUAAUAACUUUUUAAAUUAAAAUGAUCUAUUAAUAAUAAACUAAUGAAAUAAAUACUCUAGGGAUAACAGCGUAAUAAUUUUUGAUAGAUCUUAUAGACAAAAUAGUUUGCGACCUCGAUGUUGGAUUAGGAUUCUUAUUUAAUGAAGAUGUUAAAUAAAGAAGUUUGUUCAACUUUUAAAUUCCUACUUGAUCUGAUUCCAGACCGGAAAAAAAAAAAAA
rnacentral:rRNA from 1 species